rnacentral:rRNA from 1 species
CAGUCGCCGCGGGAAUACGUAGGGUGCAAGCGUUAAUCGGAAUUACUGGGCGUAAAGCGUGCGCAGGCGGUUUGUUAAGACAGAUGUGAAAUCCCCGGGCUCAACCUGGGAACUGCAUUUGUGACUGGCAAGCUAGAGUAUGGCAGAGGGGGGUGGAAUUCCGCGUGUAGCAGUGAAAUGCGUAGAUAUGCGGAGGAACACCGAUGGCGAAGGCAGCCCCCUGGGCCAAUACUGACGCUCAUGCACGAAAGCGUGGGGAGCAAACAGGAUUAGAUACCCGUGUAGUCCCUGUCUCUUAUAC